rnacentral:rRNA from 1 species
AGCAAUCGAACGGAAAGGCCUGCAGCUUGCUGCGGUACUCGAGUGGCGAACGGGUGAGUAACACGUGGGUGAUCUGCCUUGCACUUCGGGAUAAGCUUGGGAAACUGGGUCUAAUACCGGAUAGGACAGCUGUUUAGUGUCAGUUGUGGAAAGUUUUUUCGGUGCAAGAUGAGCUCGCGGCCUAUCAGCUUGUUGGUGGGGUAAUGGCCUACCAAGGCGUCGACGGGUAGCCGGCCUGAGAGGGUGUACGGCCACAUUGGGACUGAGAUACGGCCCAGACUCCUACGGGAGGCAGCAGUGGGGAAUAUUGCACAAUGGGCGGAAGCCUGAUGCAGCGACGCCGCGUGGGGGAUGAAGGCCUUCGGGUUGUAAACUCCUUUCGACAGGGACGAAGCGUAAGUGACGGUACCUGUAUAAGAAGCACCGGCUAACUACGUGCCAGCAGCCGCGGUAAUACGUAGGGUGCGAGCGUUGUCCGGAAUUACUGGGCGUAAAGAGCUCGUAGGUGGUUUGUCGCGUCGUCUGUGAAAUUCCGGGGCUUAACUCCGGGCGUGCAGGCGAUACGGGCUGACUUGAGUGCUGUAGGGGAGACUGGAAUUCCUGGUGUAGCGGUGAAAUGCGCAGAUAUCAGGAGGAACACCGAUGGCGAAGGCAGGUCUCUGGGCAGUAACUGACGCUGAGGAGCGAAAGCAUGGGUAGCGAACAGGAUUAGAUACCCUGGUAGUCCAUGCCGUAAACGGUGGGCGCUAGGUGUAGGGGGCUUCCACGUCUUCUGUGCCGUAGCUAACGCAUUAAGCGCCCCGCCUGGGGAGUACGCCGCAAG